rnacentral:rRNA from 1 species
GGUUAAGCGACUAAGCGUACACGGUGGAUGCCCUGGCAGUCAGAGGCGAUGAAGGACGUGCUAAUCUGCGAAAAGCGCCGGCGAGGUGAUAUGAACCUUUGACCCGGCGAUGUCCGAAUGGGGAAACCCAGUGUGUUCCGACACACUAUCGUUAACUGAAUACAUAGGUUAACGAGGCGAACCGGGGGAACUGAAACAUCUAAGUACCCCGAGGAAAAGAAAUCAACCGAGAUUCCCCCAGUAGCGGCGAGCGAACGGGGAGCAGCCCAGAGUCUGAAUCAGCUUGUGUGUUAGUGGAAGCGUCUGGAAAGUCGCACGGUACAGGGUGAUAGUCCCGUACACGAAAGCACACAUGCUGUGAACUCGAAGAGUAGGGCGGGACACGUGGUAUCCUGUCUGAAUAUGGGGGGACCAUCCUCCAAGGCUAAAUACUCCUGACUGACCGAUA